GGAGAAAGAUGGUUGAAAGACGGAACGUGUUUGUAAUGAAGUCAGAGUUAGAUAUUCCCGCUGUGUCACAGCUUCCGACUCCUUUGGCAUCUGUCUACUUAAACUGUGACAGAAGGACAGGGUAUGGUGCAGCCAGAAAUGCCUUGCCAAGCCAAAUCCCGGGCAGCAUUGAGGCCAAGAAGCAAGCAAAACACGAAUAUGAUUCCAUUAGGGAAAGUCCUUGCUGACUACUGCUGCAUUUAUCUGCUGAGUCAUCCCCAUAAUUGUAAUUGUUUAUUUUAGCAUUCUAAAAGAAUUUUAGAGAUAGUUUACUCCCCUUCCCCCAGAAGAUGGCUGAGAAAUACU
rnacentral:lncRNA from 1 species